GCUGGCGGCGUGCUUAACACAUGCAAAGUCGAACGCGAACGGUUUCUUCGGAAACCUAGUAGAGUGGCGCACGGGUGAGUAACGCGUAAGUAAUCUACCCUGAUAUCUGGGAUAACAAUUCGAAAGGAUUGCUAAUACCGGAUACGUUGAUUUAUCAAGAAAGAUGGCCUCUUCAUGAAAGCUAUUGUAUCAGGAGGAGCUUGCGUACCAUUAGCUAGUUGGUGGGGUAAUGGCCUACCAAGGCGACGAUGGUUAGCGGGUCUGAGAGGAUGAUCCGCCACACUGGAACUGAAACACGGACCAGACUCCUACGGGAGGCAGCAGUGAGGAAUAUUGCGCAAUGGGGGAAACCCUGACGCAGCGACGCCGCGUGGAUGAUGAAGGCCUUCGGGUCGUAAAAUCCUGUCAGAUGGGAAGAAAUGGCUCAUGGUUAAUACCCGUGUUCCUUGACGUACCAUCAAAGAAGCACCGCUAACU
rnacentral:rRNA from 1 species